rnacentral:rRNA from 1 species
UACGUAGGGGGCAAGCGUUGUCCGGAUUUAUUGGGCGUAAAGGGCUCGUAGGUGGCCAACUAAGUCAGACGUGAAAUCCCUCGGCUUAACCGGGGAACUGCGUCUGAUACUGGAUGGCUUGAGUUCGGGAGAGGGAUGCGGAAUUCCAGGUGUAGCGGUGAAAUGCGUAGAUAUCUGGAGGAACACCGGUGGCGAAGGCGGCAUCCUGGACCGACACUGACGCUGAGGAGCGAAAGCGUGGGGAGCGAACAGG